AAGUCGUAACAAGGUUUCCGUAGGUGAACCUGCGGAAGGAUCAUUAACGAGUUCUGAAAGGGGUUGUAGCUGGCCUUCCGGGGCAUGUGCACACCCUGCUCAUCCACUCUACACCUGUGCACUUACUGUAGGUUUGGCGUGGGCUUCGGGGCCUCCGGGUCUUUGAGGCAUUCUGCCGGCCUAUGUAUCACUACAAACACAUAGAGUAACAGAAUGUAUUAGCGUCUAACGCAUCUAAAUACAACUUUCAGCAACGGAUCUCUUGGCUCUC
rnacentral:misc_RNA from 1 species